UGUGUACAUACAUUUGUUAAAGAUUUAGUGUUUGAAUUCUUUGUUUAUCAAUCUACCAGUUGUAAUAUAAAUGUGAUUCACUUCUGGUGUUGGGUAGUGGUGACCAAUACACGUCCACUACACGUGGGUUGUUGCAUCAAAGCGCAUUAUCGCCGCGUCAAAAAAAGGGAACGAAGGCAGCUUUAACUGAAGAGGAUUUGAAAUCUGAAGCUUCGGUUUACCCAACUCUAAUCAUUAGAGGUCGGGAGAGCUCCGGGUACAUCAAGAAUCAUCAAAUCUCGAGCGCAGGUAGAAAGUCAUGUAUCAACCGAGGGGAUAUGCUAAACUCGACAGGCGGUAGUUAAACCAAAGGCGCUU